rnacentral:rRNA from 1 species
AAAGGAAAUCUGGAGAGAGAGUCAAACAGUACGUGAAAYCGUUGGGAGGGAAACGAACGAGGUUGGUGCAGUGAUUGCGCAGGCUCAGGUUCUGCCAAAGGUGCCAGCAGGACGACCCAGAGUGUCCCCCGUUGUCUACCGGAGGCAGAGCCGUACUCCUCGCGAGCACGGACCAGUGGCGGUUGGAGUGGGGCCAUAAGGCCGCGGGUACGGUAUGUCGGGUCGGGUUCGCUCGCUCGACAACUUACAGACCGGCGUGCCGGUGCUCCACCCCGACCGAGGAAGGAGGGCAGCGUUUGCCCGGUGUGGUGCACGCCGUAUGGCGGGGCGUCCCGUCGGUAGCAAGUCUGGCCGGGUGGACUGCUUGCAGUGCUCACUGCCACGGCGAACUAACGGUCGGCGAUUGUCACUUGUGCACCAGUGCUACUGGUAUUCGGACGGCCUCGUCCGACCCGUCU